rnacentral:ncRNA from 1 species
UCAAUGCAGGCAAGAGACAACCUGGCGAACUGAAACAUCUUAGUAGCCAGAGGAAAAGAAAGCAAAAGCGAUUCCCAUAGUAGCGGCGAGCGAAAUGGGAGCAGCCUAAACCGUGAAAACGGGGUUAUGGGAGAGCAAUACAAGCGUUAUGUCUAUGCCCAGAUUGCUCAAUUCCCUAAUUUGUCGCCAACCCAAGAAAAGUUUGAAU